UGCUGCGCAUGAAAGAGCGA
rnacentral:miRNA from 1 species